GGGGGUGUAAAGGUUUCGACUUAUUGAUAAGGCAAGAGGUUGCGUGUCGCGAGGGGAGCCUCCCGCGUCAACGGGGCUUUCAAAAAAUAAAGGCAGAUUAUGCCUACGCAAAUCAACCUGCUGAAUUUGCUUUAAGCUAAGCAGGGCUCUUAUGUUUUUUGCCUCAGGAAGCAUAAGGGUUCAUUUCGAGGCUAAGUGCCUGUUCAUUGCUUUGUGAGCUGGCAACGAAAACCUUUAAAGCUGCUUUCCGGAAGAUCCCGUCUUUCGGAGCUUCCGGAAAUAAGAAAAAGAUAAGACUACACACGUAGUGGCUUCUUGGCAAGGCUAUAAGGACGCGGGUUCGAUUCCCGCCACCUCCACCA
rnacentral:tmRNA from 1 species